GUAGGGUGCAAGCGUUAAUCGGAAUUACUAGGCGUAAAGCGUGCGCAGGCGGGGUUUGUAAGUCUGUCGUGAAAGCCCCGGGGCUCAACCUGGGAAUUGCGAUGGAGACUGCAAGGCUUGAAUCUGGCAGAGGGGGGGUAGAAUUCCACGUGUAGCAGUGAAAUGCGUAGAGAUGUGGAGGAACACCGAUGGCGAAGGCAGCCCCCUGGGUCAAGAUUGACGCUCAUGCACGAAAGCGUGGGGAGCAAACAGGAUUAGAUACCCUGGUAGUCCACGCCCUAAACGAUGUCUACUAGUUGUCGGGUUUUAAUUAACUUGGUAACGCAGCUAACGCGUGAAGUAGACCGCCUGGGGAGUACGGUCGCAAGAUUA
rnacentral:rRNA from 1 species